UACAGAGGGGGCAAGCGUUGUUCGGAAUUACUGGGCGUAAAGGGCGCGUAGGCGGCCUUCUAAGUCGAACGUGAAAUCCCCGGGCUCAACCCGGGAACUGCGUCCGAUACUGGAAGGCUUGAAUCCGGGAGAGGGAUGUGGAAUUCCAGGUGUAGCGGUGAAAUGCGUAGAUAUCUGGAGGAACACCCGUGGCGAAAGCGGCUCUCUGGGACGGUACUGACGCUGAGACGCGAAAGCGCGGGGAGCAAACAGG
rnacentral:rRNA from 1 species